AUCUGCCCAGUAGUGGGGAACAACUCCGAGAAAUCGGAGCUAAUACCGCAUACGGUAGGUGUUGAAGGACAUCAUACUAAAGCUCGCAAGGGCGCUAUUGGAGGAACCUGCGGCUGAUUAGCUAGUUGGUGGGGUAAAGGCCUACCAAGGCGAUGAUCAGUAGCUGGUCUGAGAGGAUGGACAGCCACACUGGGACUGAGAUACGGCCCAG
rnacentral:rRNA from 1 species